ACCCACAUAAAGUGGGUAUGCCACUUUAAGAGAAGAGGUUAAGGAAGCUGGGUGGUCUGCCUGGCCAAUGAGAAGUUUGGUUUCCAGAGCGUCUGGACCAAUCAGGGUGCAGGCUGCCGUUGUGGAUCCCGCCCUUCUCCCCCGGGUCUGCAGUACCGUUGGCUUUGCUCUAGAGAUCCGACGCGGUGAGACUGCUGAGCGGGGCAGCGCCAGAAGCCGUUAGGAAUCGUUGGCUCUUUCUGGCAGUUAUUUCAGCUUGUUCUUCGUAGAUAAAAGUGCCCCACGCAUCCGGAUUGAGACCCACUAUACGGUUGUCUGAAGUGUGUCGCACUGAGAUCGGUCAGGUUUUUUUUUAUACUGGAUCAUUCCUGAAGUGGAUCCCUCCUUUGAUAUUGAUGGCGAGCCUUCCCACCUGGACCUAAAGAGAGAACCAGAUUUCGUCUAUCCCAUUUGGAGUCAUGCUGCACCCUGCGGUGUGGUAGGAGAGCAACAUACAUCUUCACACACGGUUAUGUGUGAAACCUACAACUGACAUUCUCCAUUAUUAUUGUUUUUUUAUUUAUUGAUUUUUGGACAAUACUGUUUGGAUUGUUUUAUUUCGGACAUUGUGACGCACAGCUGUGGUGGAAAUUCUCCUGUGAAUGAAGUUGAAUCAAACCAAAUUGGGAUUAAUUUGAUUAAUCUGCUGACUAAUACAAUUUGGAGUGCAGAUUACCAGGGUGCACCCGAAUUAUUUGAAAUUAAGAAUUAGCACUUGGCCAAGUAUUAUUGUUAUUUCUUU